UACGUAGGGUGCAAGCGUUGUCCGGAAUUAUUGGGCGUAAAGAGCUCGUAGGCGGUUUGUCGCGUCUGCUGUGAAAACCCGAGGCUCAACCUCGGGCCUGCAGUGGGUACGGGCAGACUAGAGUGCGGUAGGGGAGAUUGGAAUUCCUGGUGUAGCGGUGGAAUGCGCAGAUAUUAGGAGGAACACCGAUGGCGAAGGCAGAUCUCUGGGCCGUAACUGACGCUGAGGAGCGAAAGCAUGGGGAGCGAACAGG
rnacentral:rRNA from 1 species